GAUGAACGCUGGCGGCGUGCCUAAUACAUGCAAGUCGAGCGAACAGAUAAGGAGCUUGCUCCUUUGACGUUAGCGGCGGACGGGUGAGUAACACGUGGGUAACCUACCUAUAAGACUGGGAUAACUUCGGGAAACCGGAGCUAAUACCGGAUAACAUUUGGAACCGCAUGGUUCUAAAGUGAAAGAUGGUCUUGCUAUCACUUAUAGAUGGACCCGCGCCGUAUUAGCUAGUUGGUAAGGUAACGGCUUACCAAGGCAACGAUACGUAGCCGACCUGAGAGGGUGAUCGGCCACACUGGAACUGAGACACGGUCCAGACUCCUACGGGAGGCAGCAGUAGGGAAUCUUCCGCAAUGGGCGAAAGCCUGACGGAGCAACGCCGCGUGAGUGAUGAAGGGUUUCGGCUCGUAAAACUCUGUUAUUAGGGAAGAACAAACGUGUAAGUAACUGUGCACGUCUUGACGGUACCUAAUCAGAAAGCCACGGCUAACUACGUG
rnacentral:rRNA from 1 species